GAUGAAGAACGUAGCGAAAUGCGAUACGUAAUGUGAAUUGCAGAUUUCAGUGAAUCAUCGAAUCUUUGAACGCACAUUGCGCCCGCUAGUAUUCUGGCGGGCAUGCCUGUUCGAGCGUCAUUUCAACCAUCAAGCCCUAGGCUUGCGUUGGAGCCCUGCGGCUGCCGCAGGCUCCCAAAUCCAGUGGCGGGCUCGUCGUCGUACCGAGUGCAGUGAACAUCCUCGCUCAGGGAACGUGACGGGUUCUUGCCGUGAAACCCCCCACAUAUCAAGGUUGACCUCGGAUCAGGUAGGAAUACCCGCUGAACUUAAGCAUAUCAAUAAGCGGAGGA
rnacentral:misc_RNA from 1 species